rnacentral:rRNA from 1 species
CCUACGGGAGGCAGCAGUGGGGCAUAUUGGGCAAUGGAGGCAACUCUGACCCAGCAACGCCGCGUGAAUGAUGAAGGUCUUCGGAUUGUAAAGCUCUUUUCUAAGGGAAGAAGAAAGUGACGGUACCUUAGUAAUAAGCCUCGGCUAACUACGAGCCAGCAGUCGCGGUAAUACGACGGUGGCAAGCGUUCGCCGGAAUGACUGGGCGUAAAGGGUGCGUAGGUGGUUUGACAAGUUGGUAGCGUAACUCCGGAGCUCAACUUCGGAACUACUACGGAGACUGUCGGACUCGAGUGCAGGAGAGGCAAGUGGAAGUUGUAGUGUAGAGGUGGAAUGCGUAGAUAUUAGGAAGAACACCGAGGGCGAAGGCGAGUUGCUGGACUGUAACUGACACUGAGGCACGAAAGCGUGGGGAGCAAACAGGAUUAGAUACCCGGGUAGUC